rnacentral:rRNA from 1 species
GGCGCUGGCGGCGUGCCUAAUACAUGCAAGUCGAACGAGUUCUGAUUAUUGAAGGGUGCUUGCAUCUUGAUUUAAUUUUGAACGAGUGGCGGACGGGUGAGUAACACGUGGGUAACCUGCCCUUAAGUGGGGGAUAACAUUUGGAAACAGAUGCUAAUACCGCAUAAAUCCAAGAACCGCAUGGUUCUUGGCUGAAAGAUGGCGUAAGCUAUCGCUUUUGGAUGGACCCGCGGCGUAUUAGCUAGUUGGUGAGGUAACGGCUCACCAAGGCAAUGAUACGUAGCCGAACUGAGAGGUUGAUCGGCCACAUUGGGACUGAGACACGGCCCAAACUCCUACGGGAGGCAGCAGUAGGGAAUCUUCCACAAUGGACGCAAGUCUGAUGGAGCAACGCCGCGUGAGUGAAGAAGGCUUUCGGGUCGUAAAACUCUGUUGUUGGAGAAGAAUGGUCGGCAGAGUAACUGUUGUCGGCGUGACGGUAUCCAACCAGAAAGCCACGGCUAACUACGUGCCAGCAGCCGCGGUAAUACGUAGGUGGCAAGCGUUAUCCGGAUUUAUUGGGCGUAAAGCGAGCGCAGGCGGUUUUUUAAGUCUGAUGUGAAAGCCCUCGGCUUAACCGAGGAAGUGCAUCGGAAACUGGGAAACUUGAGUGCAGAAGAGGACAGUGGAACUCCAUGUGUAGCGGUGAAAUGCGUAGAUAUAUGGAAGAACACCAGUGGCGAAGGCGGCUGUCUGGUCUGUAACUGACGCUGAGGCUCGAAAGCAUGGGUAGCGAACAGGAUUAGAUACCCUGGUAGUCCAUGCCGUAAACGAUGAAUGCUAGGUGUUGGAGGGUUUCCGCCCUUCAGUGCCGCAGCUAACGCAUUAAGCAUUCCGCCUGGGGAGUACGACCGCAAGGUUGAAACUCAAAGGAAUUGACGGGGGCCCGCACAAGCGGUGGAGCAUGUGGUUUAAUUCGAAGCAACGCGAAGAACCUUACCAGGUCUUGACAUCUUUUGAUCACCUGAGAGAUCAGGUUUCCCCUUCGGGGGCAAAAUGACAGGUGGUGCAUGGUUGUCGUCAGCUCGUGUCGUGAGAUGUUGGGUUAAGUCCCGCAACGAGCGCAACCCUUAUGACUAGUUGCCAGCAUUUAGUUGGGCACUCUAGUAAGACUGCCGGUGACAAACCGGAGGAAGGUGGGGAUGACGUCAAAUCAUCAUGCCCCUUAUGACCUGGGCUACACACGUGCUACAAUGGAUGGUACAACGAGUUGCGAGACCGCGAGGUCAAGCUAAUCUCUUAAAGCCAUUCUCAGUUCGGACUGUAGGCUGCAACUCGCCUACACGAAGUCGGAAUCGCUAGUAAUCGCGGAUCAGCACGCCGCGGUGAAUACGUUCCCGGGCCUUGUACACACCGCCCGUCACACCAUGAGAGUUUGUAACACCCGAAGCCGGUGGCGUAACCCUUUUAGGGAGCGAGCC